rnacentral:rRNA from 1 species
GUGGGGAAUAUUGGACAAUGGGCGCAAGCCUGAUCCAGCCAUGCCGCGUGUGUGAAGAAGGCCUUCGGGUUGUAAAGCACUUUUGUUGGGAAAGAAAUCCUGUCGGCUAAUACCCGGCGGGGAUGACGGUACCCAAAGAAUAAGCACCGGCUAACUUCGUGCCAGCAGCCGCGGUAAUACGAAGGGUGCAAGCGUUACUCGGAAUUACUGGGCGUAAAGCGUGCGUAGGUGGUUCGUUAAGUCAGAUGUGAAAGCCCCGGGCUCAACCUGGGAAUUGCAUUUGAUACUGGCGGACUAGAGUGCGGUAGAGGAGAGUGGAAUUCCCGGUGUAGCAGUGAAAUGCGUAGAGAUCGGGAGGAACAUCAGUUGCGAAGGCGGCUCUCUGGACCAGCACUGACACUGAGGCACGAAAGCGUGGGGAGCAAACAGGAUUAGAUACCCGAGUAGUCC